UCAAGUACUGGCAGGAUAUGUUUGUCAUAUUGGGGGCACAGAGACCAGAGAGACAAGAAGAAAAAUCAAGUUGUGGCCAUGAAGUUGGGAAUGGUGUGGACCCAAGAAAGGAGGGGCUCGUUUGAGGUUUCUGGAGGAGUCUCUGCCAGUUCAGGGGGAAGAGACCGUCUCCGCUCCAGCCCUCCGCCCAAUUCUGUCCCCCAUCCUAGGAGUCUUCCAGAACCCCAGCCCCUCG